GAUGAAGAACGCAGCGAAAUGCGAUAAGUAAUGCGAAUUGCAGAAUCCGUGAGUCAUCGAAUCUUUGAACGCACAUUGCGCCCUUUGGUAUUCCGAAGGGCAUGCCUGUUCGAGCGUCAUUAUCACCACUCAAGCCCGGCUUGCUGUUGGUGGCAGCGCAGCCGGUCAACCGGCUACGCUCCACCCAAAGAUAAUGACGGAGUCUGCGAGGACUCCUGUACAUUGAGCUUUCGGGCACGUACAUGGCUAGAAGUCCAGGCGCCGGUCGACGUCCUCCGGGACACUUUUUACCAAGGUUGACCUCGGAUCAGGUAGGGAUACCCGCUGAACUUAAGCAUAUCAAUAAGCGGAGGA
rnacentral:misc_RNA from 1 species